rnacentral:rRNA from 1 species
AUUGAACGCUGGCGGCACGCCUAACACAUGCAAGUCGAGCGGCAGCGAGAGUAGUAGCAAUACUACUUGUCGGCGAGCGGCGGACGGGUGAGGAACACGUAGGAACUUGCCCAGAAGUGGGGGAUAACUAAGGGAAACUUUAGCUAAUACCGCAUAAACUCGAGAGAGAAAAGGUGCCCGCAAGGGUGUAGAUUUUGGAGAGGCCUGCGUCCGAUUAGCUAGUUGGUGAGGUAAUGGCUCACCAAGGCAAUGAUCGGUAACUGGUCUGAGAGGACGACCAGUCACACUGGGACUGAGACACGGCCCAGACUCCUACGGGAGGCAGCAGUGGGGAAUAUUGGACAAUGGGGGCAACCCUGAUCCAGCGAUGCCGCGUGGGUGAAGAAGGCCUUCGGGUUGUAAAGCCCUUUAGGUUGGGAAGAAGCUUGGUAGCCGAAUAAGCGAUCAAGUUGACGGUACCGACAGAAUAAGCACCGGCAAACUCUGUGCCAGCCGCCGCAGUAA